rnacentral:rRNA from 1 species
UACGUAGGGGGCAAGCGUUAUCCGGAAUUAUUGGGCGUAAAGAGUUCGUAGGCGGUUUGUCGCGUCUGCCGUGAAAGUCCGGGGCUCAACUCCGGAUCUGCGGUGGGUACGGGCAGACUAGAGUGAUGUAGGGGAGACUGGAAUUCCUGGUGUAGCGGUGAAAUGCGCAGAUAUCAGGAGGAACACCGAUGGCGAAGGCAGGUCUCUGGGCAUUAACUGACGCUGAGGAGCGAAAGCAUGGGGAGCGAACAGG